rnacentral:rRNA from 1 species
UGGGGAAUUUUGGACAAUGGGCGAAAGCCUGAUCCAGCAAUGCCGCGUGUGUGAAGAAGGCCUUCGGGUUGUAAAGCACUUUUGUCCGGAAAGAAAUCCUUGGCUCUAAUACAGUCGGGGGAUGACGGUACCGGAAGAAUAAGCACCGGCUAACUACGUGCCAGCAGCCGCGGUAAUACGUAGGGUGCAAGCGUUAAUCGGAAUUACUGGGCGUAAAGCGUGCGCAGGCGGUUUGCUAAGACCGAUGUGAAAUCCCCGGGCUCAACCUGGGAACUGCAUUGGUGACUGGCAGGCUAGAGUAUGGCAGAGGGGGGUAGAAUUCCACGUGUAGCAGUGAAAUGCGUAGAUAUGUGGAGGAAUACCGAUGGCGAAGGCAGCCCCCUGGGCCAAUACUGACGCUCAUGCACGAAAGCGUGGGGAGCAAACAGGAUUAGAUACCCUGGUAGUCCACGCCCUAAACGAUGUCAACUAGUUGUGGGGAUUCAUUCCUUAGUAACGUAGCUAACGCGUGAAGUUGACCGCCUGGGGAGUACGGUCGCAAGAUUAAAACUUAAAUGAAUUGACGGGGUCAUAGCUGUUUCCU